rnacentral:rRNA from 1 species
UACGUAGGGUGCAAGCGUUGUCCGGAAUUAUUGGGCGUAAAGAGCUCGUAGGCGAUCUGUCGCGUCGGAUGUGAAAAUCCAGGGCUUAACCCUGGGCCUGCAUUCGAUACGGGCGGACUAGAGUGUGGUAGGGGAGACUGGAAUUCCUGGUGUAGCGGUGAAAUGCGCAGAUAUCAGGAGGAACACCAGUGGCGAAGGCGGCUCACUGGCCCGAUACUGACGCUGAGGCACGAAAGCGUGGGGAGCAAACAGG